rnacentral:rRNA from 1 species
UACGAAGGGGGCUAGCGUUGCUCGGAAUCACUGGGCGUAAAGGGUGCGUAGGCGGGUCUUUAAGUCAGGGGUGAAAUCCUGGAGCUCAACUCCAGAACUGCCUUUGAUACUGAAGAUCUUGAGUUCGGGAGAGGUGAGUGAACUGCGAGUGUAGAGGUGAAAUUCGUAGAUAUUCGCAAGAACACCAGUGGCGAAGGCGGCUCACUG